GGCAGGGUAGGAAAGGGGGUAGGAAAGGCCGAUGUCCGGGCUCAUAACCCGAAGACCGUGGGUUCAAAUCCCACCCCCGCAACCA
rnacentral:tRNA from 1 species